rnacentral:rRNA from 1 species
AUUGAACGCUGGCGGCAUGCCUUACACAUGCAAGUCGAACGGCAGCACGGGAGCUUGCUCCUGGUGGCGAGUGGCGAACGGGUGAGUAAUACAUCGGAACGUACCCAGGAGUGGGGGAUAACGUAGCGAAAGUUACGCUAAUACCGCAUAUUCUGUGAGCAGGAAAGCGGGGGAUCGCAAGACCUCGCGCUCUUGGGGCGGCCGAUGUGGGAUUAGCUAGUUGGUGAGGUAAAAGCUCACCAAGGCGACGAUCCGUAGCAGGUCUGAGAGGAUGAUCUGCCACACUGGGACUGAGACACGGCCCAGACUCCUACGGGAGGCAGCAGUGGGGAAUUUUGGACAAUGGGGGCAACCCUGAUCCAGCCAUGCCGCGUGAGUGAAGAAGGCCGUCGGGUUGUAAAGCUCUUUCGGCGGGGAAGAAAUGGCAACGGCUAAUAUCCGUUGUUGAUGACGGUACCCGCAUAAGAAGCACCGGCUAACUACGUGCCAGCCGCCGCCGUAAAAC